rnacentral:rRNA from 1 species
UACGUAGGGGGCGAGCGUUGUCCGGAAUCAUUGGGCGUAAAGCGCGCGUAGGUGGCCCCAUAAGUCCGCUGUGAAAGUCAAAGGCUCAACCUUUGAAAGCCGGUGGAUACUGUGGGACUAGAGUACGGAAGGGGCGAGUGGAAUUCCUGGUGUAGCGGUGGAAUGCGCAGAUAUCAGGAGGAACACCAAUAGCGAAGGCAGCUCGCUGGGACGUUACUGACACUGAGGCGCGAAAGCGUGGGGAGCGAACAGG